UACAGAGGUCUCGAGCGUUAGGCGGAAUCACUGGGCUUAAAGCGUGUGUAGGUGGAUCGUUAAGUACCUUGUGAAAUCCCACGGCUUAACCGUGGAACUGCUUGGUAUACUGGCGGUCUUGAGCCACUUAGGGGCUACCGGAACAAAUGGUGGAGCGGUGAAAUGCGUAGAUAUCAUUUGGAACGCCAAUGGUGAAAACAGGUAGCUGGGAGUGUGCUGACGCUGAGACACGAAAGCCAGGGGAGCAAACGGG
rnacentral:rRNA from 1 species